AUACUCUGGUUUCUCUUCAAAUUGUAUAAAUCUUUUGCCUUUUACUCAA
rnacentral:snRNA from 1 species